GCGCGAAAACUUUACAAUGCUGGCAACAGCGAUAAGGGAACCUCGAGUGCCAGGUUACAAAUCUGGCUGUCGAGAUGCCUAAAAAGCAUUUCAUAGCAAGGGCCGGGCAAGACCGGUGCCAGCCGCCGCGGUAACACCGGCGGCUCGAGUGGUAACCGUUAUUAUUGGGUCUAAAGGGUCUGUAGCCGGCCGGAUAAGUCUCUUGAGAAAUCUGGCAGCUUAACUGUCAGGCUUUCAGGAGAUACUGUCUGGCUCGAGGCCGGGAGAGGUGAGAGGUACUUCAGGGGUAGGGGUGAAAUCUUGUAAUCCUUGAAGGACCACCAGUGGCGAAGGCGUUUCACCAGAACGGACCUGACGGCAAGGGACGAUAGCUAGGGGCACGAACC
rnacentral:rRNA from 1 species